AGAGUUUGAUCCUGGCUCAAAUUGAACGCUGGCGGCAUGCCUUACACAUGCAAGUCGAACGGUAACGCGGGGGCAACCCUGGCGACGAGUGGCGAACGGGUGAGUAAUACAUCGGAACAUAUCCAGUAGCGGGGGAUAACCUAUCGAAAGAUGGACUAAUACCGCAUACGAUCUACGGAUGAAAGCAGGGGACCGCAAGGCCUUGCACUAUUGGAGUGGCCGAUGUCGGAUUAGCUAGUUGGUGGGGUAAAGGCUUACCAAGGCGACGAUCCGUAGCUGGUCUGAGAGGACGAUCAGCCACACUGGAACUGAGACACGGUCCAGACUCCUACGGGAGGCAGCAGUGGGGAAUUUUGGACAAUGGGCGCAAGCCUGAUCCAGCCAUGCCGCGUGAGUGAAGAAGGCCUUCGGGUUGUAAAGCUCUUUCGGUGAAGACGAAACGGUUAGCGCUAAUAACGCUGACUAAUGACGGUACUCACAGAAGAAGCACCGGCUAACCACGUGCCAGCAGCCGCGGUAAUACGUAGGGUGCAGGCGUUAAUCGGAAUUACUGGGCGUAAAGCGUGCGCAGGCGGUUUGCUAAGACAGGUGUGAAAUCCCCGGGCUUAACCUGGGAAUUGCGCUUGUAACUGGCAAGCUAGAGUGUGGCAGAGGGGGGUGGAAUUCCACGUGUAGCAGUGAAAUGCGUAGAUAUGUGGAGGAACACCGAUGGCGAAGGCAGCCCCCUGGGUUAACACUGACGCUCAUGCACGAAAGCGUGGGGAGCAAACAGGAUUAGAUACCCUGGUAGUCCACGCCCUAAACUAUGUCAACUAGUUGUCGGGGAAGAAAUUCCUUGGUAACGAAGCUAACGCGUGAAGUUGACCGCCUGGGGAGUACGGCCGCAAGGUUAAAACUCAAGGAAUUGACGGGGACCCGCACAAGCGGUGGAUUAUGUGGAUUAAUUCGAUGCAACGCGAAAAACCUUACCUACCCUUGACAUGCUAGGAAGCCCGCAGAGAUGUGGGUGUGCCCGAAAGGGAACCUAGACACAGGUGCUGCAUGGCUGUCGUCAGCUCGUGUCGUGAGAUGUUGGGUUAAGUCCCGCAACGAGCGCAACCCUUGCCAUUAGUUGCUACAUUCAGUUGGGCACUCUAAUGGGACCGCCGGUGACAAACCGGAGGAAGGUGGGGAUGACGUCAAGUCCUCAUGGCCCUUAUGGGUAGGGCUUCACACGUAAUACAAUGGUCGGUACAGAGGGCUGCCAACCCGCAAGGGGGAGCUAAUCCCAGAAAGCCGAUCGUAGUCCGGAUUGUAGUCUGCAACUCGACUGCAUGAAGCCGGAAUCGCUAGUAAUCGCGGAUCAGCAUGUCGCGGUGAAUACGUUCCCGGGUCUUGUACACACCGCCCGUCACACCAUGGGAGUGGGUUCCACCAGAAGUAGUUAGCCUAACCGCAAGGAGGGCGAUUACCACGGUGAGAUUCAUGACUGGGGUGAAGUCGUAACAAGGUA
rnacentral:rRNA from 1 species